GGGUUGUGAGGUUAAGCGACUAAGCGUACACGGUGGAUGCCCUGGCAGUCAGAGGCGAUGAAGGACGUGCUAAUCUGCGAUAAGCGCCGGUAAGGUGAUAUGAACCGUUAUAACCGGCGAUUUCCGAAUGGGGAAACCCAGUGUGAUUCGUCACACUAUCAUUAACUGAAUCCAUAGGUUAAUGAGGCGAACCGGGGGAACUGAAACAUCUAAGUACCCCGAGGAAAAGAAAUCAACCGAGAUUCCCCCAGUAGCGGCGAGCGAACGGGGAGGAGCCCAGAGCCUGAAUCAGCAUGUGUGUUAGUGGAAGCGUCUGGAAAGGCGCGCGAUACAGGGUGACAGCCCCGUACACAAAAGCGCACAUGCUGUGAGCUCGAUGAGUAGGGCGGGACACGUGGUAUCCUGUCUGAAUAUGGGGGGACCAUCCUCCAAGGCUAAAUACUCCUGACUGACCGAUAGUGAACCAGUACCGUGAGGGAAAGGCGAAAAGAACCCCGGCGAGGGGAGUGAAAAAGAACCUGAAACCGUGUACAUACAAGCAGUGGGAGCACCCUUUGGGGUGUGACUGCGUACCUUUUGUAUAAUGGGUCAGCGACUUAUAUUCUGUAGCAAGGUUAACCGUAUAGGGGAGCCGGAGGGAAACCGAGUCUUAAC
rnacentral:rRNA from 2 species